rnacentral:rRNA from 1 species
GACGAACGCUGGCGGCGUGCUUAACACAUGCAAGUCGAACGGUAAGGCCCUUCGGGGUACACGAGUGGCGAACGGGUGAGUAACACGUGGGUGAUCUGCCCUGCACUUCGGGAUAAGCCUGGGAAACUGGGUCUAAUACCGGAUAGGACCAAUGCCUGCAUGGGUGGUGGUGGAAAGCUUUUGCGGUGUGGGAUGGGCCCGCGGCCUAUCAGCUUGUUGGUGGGGUGAUGGCCUACCAAGGCGACGACGGGUAGCCGGCCCGAGAGGGUGACCGGCCACACUGGGACUGAGAUACGGCCCAGACUCCUACGGGAGGCAGCAGUGGGGAAUAUUGCACAAUGGGCGCAAGCCUGAUGCAGCGACGCCGCGUGAGGGAUGACGGCCUUCGGGUUGUAAACCUCUUUCAGCACCGACGAAGCGCAAGUGACGGUAGGUACAGAGGAAGGACCGGCCAACUACGUGCCAGCCGCCGCAGUAA